UAACAGUUAUGGCUAUGUACCUUUG
rnacentral:piRNA from 1 species